AUGUGUGUCCCUAAGGAAAGAGGAGGUAUCAGUUUUCCUGGCGUUCACAGUUUCAAUUUGGGUAUGUUGGCUAAGGAGUGUCGGAGGCUUGUGGAGAACUAUGGAUCCUUGUGUGUGAGAGUAUUGAAAUCAAAGUAUUAUCCCUCUAGUGGUCUCUUAAAUUGUGAGCUAAAGAAGUCAUCUUAUGUUUGGCAAAUCAUAUGGGCUGGUGUACAAACCUUUAAGAAAGGCAUUUGGAGGGUAGGAGAUAGAACUAAAAUACAUAUAUGGAACAACUGCUGGAUUCCCAAUAGCCAUAGUAGGAAAGUGAUCACUGCUCGUGGAAACAGAGUUCUAACUAUGGUGAGUGAGCUUAUUGAUCUAAUUACGGGUGAUUGGGAUGAGCAGCUGAUUAGGGAUAAUUUUUGGCCUAUAGAUGUUGACAGAAUUCUUCAAAUUCCUUUAUCCCAUCAAUCAAUAGAGGACUUUGUGGCAUGGCAUCUAACAAAAAAUGGUAUAUUCAGCAUAAGGUCGGCUUACUAUAAACAAUGGGAGGACACGUAUGUUAAUGAGAACCCAAAUAUUUUUGGCCAACGAGGAUCGACACCACACCCAAUAUGCAAUAAACUUUGGAGUGUGAAGGUACCUGGAAAGGUGAUGAUCUUCUUAUGGUGAUGUUUGCAUAAUGCAAUCCCUUGCUUAUGCGUUUUAGCCAACCGUCACAUUGGAACCAACUCACAAUGUCCAAUAUGUAAAAUGUCUGCGAAAGAUGUUGGCCAUGCUCUGUUUAAGUUUGAAAGAGCAAAUCUGGUCUGGGAUGCACUCGGGUUUAGAGACACAAUUAAAAAUGCAACCUGCUUGAUAGGUUUGGCUCCGCGAUCAUCGAGUUCCUGUUAUGUGACUCUUCUGUCAAAUUCCUUAUAUGGAACCGGUCCAAUUCUCAGAAAAUAG
rnacentral:rRNA from 1 species